UCCAAAAUCUUCUCAACGAACAAAUCUCUCCACACUGAUCCAUUCCUUUGAGUCUCAAGUAUUUUGCUAACGCAAGAAGCUCAGGAUCUCUCUUCUUCCUUCUUCUUAGAACUCCCACAAACCCAGUUCCGUCUUUUAAUUCCAAACACCUCCGCCGUCAUCAGAACAAGAAUGGAUUCAAUGGAGCUCACUCGCGUCUUCCAGAUGUUUGAUAGAAAUGGUGAUGGGCGAAUAAGCAAGAAAGAGUUGAAUGACUCGUUGGAGAAUCUGGGUAUCUUUAUCCCUGAUCCAGAGUUAACCCAGAUGAUUCAAAAUAUAGAUGUUAAUGGAGAUGGGUGUGUUGAUAUCGAUGAGUUUGGUGCUUUGUAUCGAUCGAUUAUGGAUGAGCGAGACGAGGAAGAAGAGGAGGACAUGAAGGAAGCCUUCAAGGUGUUUGAUCAAAAUGGUGAUGGGUUUAUUACUGUUGAUGAAUUGAGAUCUGUGCUUGCUGCUCUUGGGCUUAAGCAAGGGAGGACUUUAGAGGAUUGCAAGACAAUGAUCAUGAAGGUUGAUGUUGAUGG
rnacentral:lncRNA from 1 species